rnacentral:rRNA from 1 species
AGUGAACGCUGGCGGUAGGCCUAACACAUGCAAGUCGAACGGCAGCACAGUAAGAGCUUGCUCUUACUGGUGGCGAGUGGCGUACGGGUGAGGAAUACAUCGGAAUCUACUUUUUCGUGGGGGAUAACGUAGGGAAACUUACGCUAAUACCUCAUACGACCUACGGGUGAAAGCAGGGGAUCUUCGGACCUUGCGCGAUUGAAUGAGCCGAUGUCGGAUUAGCUAGUUGGCGGGGUAAAGGCCCACCAAGGCGACGAUCCGUAGCUGGUCUGAGAGGAUGAUCAGCCACACUGGAACUGAGACACGGUCCAGACUCCUACGGGAGGCAGCAGUGGGGAAUAUUGGACAAUGGGCGCAAGCCUGAUCCAGCCAUACCGCGUGGGUGAAGAAGGCCUUCGGGUUGUAAAGCCCUUUUGUUGGGAAAGAAAAGCAGCAGGUUAAUACCCCGCUGUUAUGACGGUACCGUAAGAAUAAGCACCGGCUAACUUCGUG